UUUUUGUUUUUUUUUCUGAAUGAGAAUAUGAACCAAAAAUAUGGGACAACACAUUAACCAUUCUUAGACUGCAGUACUUGAGAAUAACAUCAUAAAUAAGGAAUGAAGAAAAAAAAAAGUUAGCCAUGGCAAGUGUUUGCAUGACGUUUCUGUUUCUUUAUUCAAGGCAAAAUGCAACAGAGAGCAUGAAAAGAAAAACUACUAAUAAGGAAUCAUCCAACUCUACACUAGGCACCACCACAAACGUAGUUACAACUUUACACACACGAUUAGCACUGUUGUAAUCUAUUUUUGGAUUUCUAUUUUUUGAAUAUUUUUUGAGAAAAUUAGAAAAAUCCAAAAAAUAUGUCUUUUCAAUAAUUUUAGCUAUUUUAAUCAUUUUGUUAUUUUUUCAUUUCUAUUAAUUUUUUGGGAGUCCAAACAUCUUGAAGAUCAUAAAAAAAAUACAAAAUGCAAAAAUACAAUAAACAAUUAAAAAUAAUACAAAAACAGCCGGGGUUUGAAAUUGGGUCAAUAAUCGAGUGUCACGAGUAAAAAUUUGAGUUUGGGAAUUUUUGUUUGAGAAUCAAGGAUGAAUUUGCAGCAAGUGAUUAAAUUUAGAGGUCUAGAUUGAUCAAAUUAAGGGUGUAAUUGAAUAGAAAAUAGGGAUUUAUGACAAAAUUCAGUUGAAACCACAAGAGAUUAAGAAACAAGGACUAAAUUAAAGAGACUAAAAUGGAAAGAUUUGAUUUAGGGAUUAAAUUGAGAGAGAAUUCCUGAUUUAAAGCCCUAAUAGAAUUAAAUUGAAAAAAAUUCAAAAAUCAAGGACUGUAAUGAAAAGAGGGAAAUAUUCCAAGAACCACUUGACUAUUUAAAUAAUUUCACUUCAGUCCUAGUUGUUUCUUUCUAAUCAUUUCAGUCCAAUUAAAUACCAAUUUAAUCUAAUUUUUCAAUUAAUUCAAUUCAACCCAAUUUAAUCCACCAAUUAAUUCAUUCUCCACAGGUUGGAGAGAACUUGUCUUCGAGAAUUUGUCAACAACAACUAAAAUAGAAUACAUAGCUUGUUGUAUACAAGGUAAGCCCAACUACAUCAUUAAUCAUUAAUGAUGUAGUUGAGUUUGUGAGAACGGGUGAUUCUGAGCAAUCAGGUGUGAGUCGGCCACAACUGAUAUUUUACUUAGUGUCUGUGUAAGAGGAACAAUGCUUAGUGUCUGUGUAAGAGGAACAAUGCUUGAAAAACAUGCUUUCUACUUGAUAUUUUACUUACAAACAAAUCAUGUGAAAAUAUUAAAUUUCAAUAAACUACUCUGCCAAUACAAGAGAUACCAAGAAUAGUAGUUUUGCAUGAAUAUUAAUUUAUUCCUUUAUAAUAAGAAAAGAAAUAUUUAAUUGAUUUAAUUAGCAGAUUCAAACAUUUAUUUUGAACAUAUUCAUAUCAAAACCCCUAAAUUAUCAUAAACUCUAAUAUUUUUAAUAAUUAAUUAUAAAAGAAUAAAACUAAAAUUAGACAAUGAAACAAAUAAAAAAGAUAAAGAAAAUUUACUUAAAGCAUAAAGCAAAAAACAAAAGAGGUUAAUUGUUUAAUUGUACUUGAAGAGAAAUUUGUAUAAGGAAGAGAGGUAGGGAACAACAGCUAAAAAAAAAAAAAAAAACCUCUCGGAUAGUUAGGAAAAGAAAAAGAAAGAAAAGAAAAAAAAUAUGAGAUAAUGAGCUGGACAUAUAUAUUAUAUAUUAUAUUAAGAUAUAAGUUACCAAUAAUAACUUUCUUUCAUUUAUCAACUAUUUACAAAACUAUUAUAUUAAUAUUUUAAAAUAAAAAAACAAUUAAGGGGGCAAUUGCGCCCCCUUCUCCGCCACUGGUGUUAGCUAAUAUUAGGAACAAUAAUAAUUUUGAUGAAACUAUAAUUACAAAAAUGGAUAGAAGAAGACGCCGAAAACCCACAUAUAAAACGACUAAGUCAAGAGUUUCAUUAACAAGCCAUAUUUAUUUGGCAAUUAGAGAGUUUCUGUCAAUGACUGAGGUGGCGGAUAAGGAAGGUGCUUUCUAAUUAAAUUGCUGACCAAAUCUUAAUUAAAAAUUAAGGAUUUUAACUUGAAGGGGUUGAAUUAAUGGUUAAGACAGUUUGCUCACUUCCCUGAUUAAUUUAGUGGAUUCAAACACUGGAGAUAUUUUAUAUAUUAAUUUUCUCUAAAAGUACCAAAUCUAUGUGAGGGGAUGCAUCCUUAAAAUCGGUAAAAAAAAAAAAAAAACCUAACUGGUAAGAAAGUUACAUAAUGCAUGGUCAAUUAUAUUACUCUAUGUUGAAAUGAUCAUGAAGUACAUUAUUUUAGGUUUCCAAGUAAGAAUAACAAUGAGUCUCCCUUCCAUCAUAUUCUACUGUAUCCAUUCAAUUAUUUAUUAUCCUAAAGUACUAUUUAUAUUUUUUAAAUCUAAUUUAAUAAGUUCAUACUUCAAUGUUAAUACAACACAUGCACACACACACACAUAUGGUAAGAAGUCCUGAAAGCAUUCUACUAUGAUCUAAUUAAUGUUGGCUUGUAUAUAUAGUUUUUGCUCUUGUAUUCCUGCCUUUGAUUUUGCUAUGUUUCUUUCUCCCUUGUUCAGAACUCUUUUUACCUACCACCUAGCUUGCCAUUAACUUAUUAGUAAUCUGCUUCUCUUUUACUAAAAUUUGGAUCAGUAUGCAUUGAAUUCAAGUUAACUUCCAUUCGUGUCUCAAAGUUCUUGGGUUUGAAAAAAAAGAAAAAAAGAAUGUACAAUAACUUUAUAUAGUAAUAUUAAUUUCUUCUCGGGAAUGGAGAUGAUCAUUAACAAUUUCUAAUCUUGCUGUAAAAAAUCAAAAAUUAUAUCAAGAAACUUUACAUUUCUUAGAACAACAAAACUUACUUAUUCAAAGAAUUUAAUUAUUGGCCAGUUUGAGCAAUUAAUUUGGAUCAAUGUACCAAAUUUUAUGAAGUAAUUAACUUGGAUUUAUAUUUAAUCUAGUUCGGUGACUUUGAUUAUUAGCUUGUUAAAAAACCUAAAACCAUGCAACUAAAUUAGCUUGUUAAGAAACUCAUUCGGUCAAAUUAUCAGCAAAACGAUUCUUCUUAUUAUGAACAUGCUCAAAAAACACAGAAGGAAAGGGAUUACAAGCAGUGGAGAUAUCAUUAAAUUUAUCUUGCAAAUGCUACGAUCGCAUGAUGUUUUCAUCUUUAACCCAAGUAAUAAAAUACAAAUCCCGUACACGCAUAAUUAAGUCGAAUUAGUCAAAGUCAAUACAAAUCUCCUACAAAAACUAGAAAAAAAGUACGUGACACCAACUUGUUUUUAAUAUAAAUAUAAAUGCCAACAAGCAAGAACUUUAAAUAUACUAGCGUGGGUUUUGAUUAAUACAGAUACAUUAUCUUUAGAGUUUCCCAUGGCGCGUUUCCUCGUGCUCGACUUCUCUAUAUAAAGGGCACAUGCCACCCUUGAUUUGCACACCACUCAGAUAUCAGUUACCGUUGUUAACAACCAUGGCAACUCAAAGCUAUGUGUUGUGUAUUCUCAUUCUUGGCUUGGUAGCCAGUAAUAUUGUAGCCUCUACUACACCUAGCCAUGAGAUUCAUUCUUUUAAUCGUCAGAGUUUUCCACCAGGUUUCAUUUUUGGGGCAGCAUCAGCAGCUUACCAGGUCAUUUCUAGUCUUAGCUUGCCAUCAAUUAUAGUGAUUUUUUUUUUUUGAUAAUCAUCGAGAGAGUAUAUUAAGAAGACCAUAAAACCAAUAGCCAAAGAAAAAUACAAGUGAUAUGAAAAAAAAAAAAAACUGAUCUACUACAGUAAACAACAAAAAAACUACCUAAGAUUUCUUAUUACACCACAAUUAUAGUGAUUUUACUUCACGUUUAAUUAAUUCAUGAGAGCCCAUAGAUUUAUAAUUGAAUUGGCACCUCUAUUUCAGUUUCAAGAAAUCUCGAGUUCGAUUUUUUUUUUUGAUUACGUACUUCAUAGAAUGUUAAAUCCUACUAUGUCGUAUAUUUUUUCAGUACGAAGGUGCAGCUUUCCAAGAUGGCAAAGGACUAAGCAUAUGGGAUACAUUUACGCAUAAAUUUCCUGGUUUCUCUUUCUCUUAGAAAUUCUCCUUCAUGGUGUUUGUCGGAUAAACUUUUAGAUCGACUUGUAUUGUAUUAGGGACUUUUGUGUUUAGUAACAUGACUGGACUUGUUUUUUAAAAUAUUUUAAAGUUAUUUUUUAUUUUAAAAAUAUCAAAUUAUUAUUUUAGGUGUUUAUUGAUGAUUUUUAUAUUCUGAUAUAAAAAAUCUAAAAAAAGAUUAUUUUAAUAAAUUUUAAUUGAAAAAACCUUGUAAUAAUCAAGAUAUUUAUUGAUAUAUAUAACCUGUUUAGUAUUAAGGCAAUGAAAUUAAUAUAUGUACGGUGAAAUGCAGAAAAAAUAGCUGAUCGUAGCAAUGGAGACGUGGCUGAUGAUCAAUAUCAUCGUUACAAGGUAACUAAAUAAUUAUAGCUUAAUAAUUAAUAAAUAUAUUAAAAUAGCCAUUCAGAGAAUAAUCAAAGCAGAAGAAUGAAAAAUUAUUUGUUACAUCACCUGGAGAUUGCUAAAAACAGAGUAAAAAUUGAAAAAAAAAAACAUAAAAAAACCCAAAUAGCUAUUAAAUGACUAGCCACUAAAAAUUUAAACACAAUGAAUCUGAAUAACUCCAAUACACAGAUUAUUAGUGUUCGUAUACUUUUGAAUACUGUCUAAACUUCUAGUGAGGUUAUUGCCUAAAGUUAGUCCAGCUAGUAUUAGUGGUGUUUCUCUUUCAAAUUAUUUUCUUUAUAAUUAAUUAAAAGCACGUGGUUUUUUGGUACAAAUUAAAUAUAAGAUCUAGGGUUAAAACUUUGCAUAAUUAAUUUUUUUAAUAUAUUCAUACAUUAUGGUUCUUGAUAUCUGUUUGAUAAUUUUUUUAUGUUAUAAUAACUAAAUAUUUUUUUUAAAUGUUAAGCACAUUGAAAAUCAUAUAUAAUUGGGAAAAAACAAAUAUUUUUUAGUGAGAUGGGUGAAAUUCUUAUUUAUUUUCCAAUAUUAAAUGUCACAGGAAGAUGUUAAGAUCAUGAAAGACAUGGGCUUAGACUCCUACAGAUUUUCAAUCUCAUGGCCUAGAAUAUUGCCAAUUGCCAAGUAAGAUCUUCUGUAUAAACCACUCGCAAUAUCCAUCCACACUAUCAUCUCUUUCCUCUCUCUCCCUCCCUCCCUCCCUCCCUCUCUCUCUCUCUCUCUCUCUCUCUCUCUCUCUCUCUAUAUAUAUAUAUAUCCACAUGUAAUUUCUCUUUGCAAAAUUGUUAUGUUUUAACAUGGCAUCUUUUGUUUUUAAUUACUUCAGAAGGAAAGCUGAGUGGGGGAGUGAAUAAAGCAGGAAUCAAAUACUACAACAACCUCAUUAAUGAGCUCGUAGCAAAUGGUUAAUUAUGAUUCAAUCUUAUAAUAAUUAAUUGCAUGAUUUAAGUUUACAUUACACACCAUGUGGACAAGUAAAUUCAAUUUGUUCAUUGCUAUCAUGUUCAGGCUUAAAACCCCUGGUGACUCUUUUCCAUUGGGACACUCCUCAAGCCUUAGAUUCUGAGUAUGGGAGUUUUCUAAGUACUAGGAUUGUGUAAGUAACUUGAUUAAGUUUCUCUGUUUUUUUUUUUUUAAAGUUCUUUUGACUUAAUAAUCUGAGUUUCUCUGUAUAUGAUAGUGUAAAUAACCAAAACCUAUCACUGAUUAUCUUACAGGAAAGACUUCGAGGACUAUGUAGAUGUUUGCUUUAGAGAAUUUGGAGAUAGAGUUAAGCACUGGAUCACAUUGAAUGAACCAAAUAUCUUUACUUCGGGAGGCUAUGCUUCUGGUGGUGGUGCACCAAAUAGAUGUUCAGCUUGGCAGAAUUUAAAUUGUACUGGUGGAGAUUCAUCAACAGAACCAUAUGUGGUAGGACACAAUCUGAUUAAAUCUCAUGCUGCUGCUGUAAGAUUAUACAAGGCAAAAUACCAGGUACAACACUAAUUAGAAUCCUACGUUAUCAUGUUUUUAUUAUUAUUAAUGAGUGAAUUAAAUACUAGGAACAAAGCAAGGACAAACUUAAGACUACUUGUCAAUCAUUAAAAUCUUCAAACAAAGAAGGUUGACUAAUAACUUGGAUUAUAAACUCAAAAGAUCAAACUUAAUUUUCACAAAAAUGAUUUUCGGGCAUGAUAUAGGUUACCAAGUAUUUUGUGCUUGCAGGCAACUCAAAAGGGCAUAAUAGGGAUCACAGUAGCAUCCCACUGGUUUUUGCCAUACUCUAAUUCUACACAGGACAAAGCUGCUGCACAACGGUCCCUGGAUUUCUUGUAUGGAUGGUAUGUGUUGCGGUUGUUUUCUCUUGACUUAAGUCUCCCUAGAUUUAUUGCUCAUAGCUCUGUUGAGGUUACCACACAAUGGUUGUGGGAGGAACGUGAGGAAUUUAUCACAAGCUAGCUUUUGAGGGGGAGAUAGGUCCAAGAACAUCUAAGAAUUUAUCACAAGCUAGUAACAAGAAAGGUUUUGAUAAAAAAUUAUCACACAUCGAUUGUAGAAGGGGAUAAUGAAAAGUUCAAAAGUUCGAGGACAAGCUAGUUUUUGAGAAGGAGAUAGGCCCAAGACCACCUAACAAGUUCUUCUAUUAAGAAGUUCAGGGUUCUAACAUUUUUUAUUAUAAAAAAGAAAUAAGAAAUUUAAGAAAUCAUAUUUUAAUCCCAUUGUUGAAGAAAUGACCAAACUUUUUUAUGGUAUUUUUACAGGUACAUGGAUCCAGUAGUUUUCGGUGAUUAUCCAAGUUCAAUGAGGUCUCUUGUUGGGAAAAGAUUACCCAAAUUCACCAAGGAGGAAUCUGCAUUUAUAAAGGGAUCAUUUGAUUUUAUUGGGUUGAAUUACUACACUGCUUUCUAUGCGGAAAAUUUGCCUAUAUCAAAUAUUUCACAUCCAAGCUCCUUGACGGAUAGUCUUGCCACCAGUAGGAGUAAGCACAGAAUAAAAACUUAAAGACAAUUGAGGAUUGAUGCUUCUUUUGAGUAGAUUAAUUGCUAAAUGUUAACAAUCAUCUUUUGUUUUUCUUUCUUGUGAUUAUAGGUGAUCGUAAUGGUGUUCUUAUUGGUCCACAGGUGUGUAUCAACUAAAUAAAACAACGUUAAUUUACUUAUAAUCAAGUCGAAUUCUCUAAAGUCACUACUUAAUUCAAUAUUUUUCUUUAAUUAUAAAAUAAUGCAGGCAGGAUCAACUUGGCUCCAUGUUUAUCCUAAAGGAAUUCGUAAACUUUUGCUCUACACCAAGAAGAAAUACAAUGAUCCAGUUAUUUACAUCACUGAGAAUGGUGAUCAAUUAACUUCUUAAUUAUCAUAAUUAACUACUUGAUGUGCCAUUCCAAUCUUUGUUAAAAGCCCAUUUCGCACGAAAUUAAUGUAUCUCUUGUUUUAGGCGUAAGUGAGGUAAAUAAUGAAGGCAAAUUAACGCUUAAGCAACAACUAAAUGACACCAUGAGGAUCGAUUACUACCGUAGCCAUCUCUCUUUCUUGAGAUUAGCAAUGGCGUAAGUACUUCUUAAUUAAUAUUUGUGUCUCUUUACCAAGUUCAUAAUUAAUAUAAAAAAUUACAGUGUUAAUUAAAUUUUCUUUUUUUUAUAGUGAGGGUGUCAAGGUGAAGGGAUACUUCGCAUGGUCAUUUUUGGAUGACUUCGAAUGGAAUUCUGGUUACACCGUAAGAUUUGGUAUCAUCUACAUUGAUUAUAAAAAUGGAUUGAAGAGAAUCCCAAAACUCUCAGCUCGGUGGUUCAAGAACUUCCUCGAGAAAAAGAAGGCAUGAUCACUUGUUCUUUACAAGAAUGAGCAAUAAAAUUUCUCGCUGGUUUAAGAAGCUUGUGUGCUUCUUUUUUUUCCUUUAAUUUAUUUUCCAAGAAUAAGUUUUGUAGGCAGAGAGGCCUUUAGCUAUUCGCUGUAUUGUUGUCUCUGCUACAUCCUAUGACUUCAGAAUUCGAAUAAUUAGCUUAAUAGUUUUUCUUCAAUAAAAAAUUGAUGUUAUUUCCCGAACCCUACUUUUCCUUAUUUAUACACGUGCUCUUUCCAACUACACAAAUCUGUAUCUAUAAAGUGACAACUCCAACCUAGAAGAUUUCUGACUCAAAUCUUAAGUAGAAAGAGAUGUGAUUUAGUGAUGAAGGAAGAAUCACUCUCAUUAUAUAGCACAUGGCUCAUCAUAACUCCAAUAAACCAAAAAAGAAAAGAAAAUCAGAAUGGGCGGGACAACUACGUACUACUUCCUAUAGGUAUGAGUGUUCUUAGGAGGGAGCAUCUGUGAUGCUUAUGUUAAGGUAUGAGUGUUCAUAUAUUUUUUAUGGGUAGUAUUAUUGCAUGAAAUGUAUGUGAUAUUGGGAAUAGAGAUAAGAAGAGAGCUCUGAGACAAUCGGUGAGAUAUAAUAAACUUGAUUUAUUAUGUGAGGUGGAAACAAAAAAGGUGGUAGUUGAUGAGGAGAUUGUCAAUCCCAUUUGGAGUGGUAAUUCUAGAUUAUGGUAUGUUGUUCCUUCUGAGGAUUUAUCUCGGGGUUUGCUCUUUGUCUAGAAUUCAUCUGCUUUUAAUGUUCAUAAUGCUUCUAUCGCCAUGAAUGGCAGGGCAAUUCAUGUUCAAGGUAAUUUUGCACAAUAUGAUUUUGAUUGUGUGGAGACAGUGGUGUAUGUCCCUAAUUAGAAUUCUUUAAAGAAAGAUUUAAGAGCUAUCUUAAGUCAUUUAAAGGUAGUGUUUCUAAGCCAUGGUGUUUUAUAGAGGGUUUUAAUGAAACUAAAUAUCCUUCAUAUCAAAAGAGUGGGGCAAUUAUUAUUUUCAAUGUCACACGUGUGCGGCGUUGUAACGAUUAUUUUUUCAGAUCGGGAUGGUCAGGAAUGAUGUAGUAGAAAGGAAUUGUCCUUUAUCAAUAAAAAGAGAGAAUAAGAGUCGCCACAUAAUAUUUUGAUCUUAGAGUCUGGAUAAAAGAAUUGAUUGUGUAUAGAAAGGAUGUGUCACUCUUAAUACACCUUACCUGAGGUAAGCUACAUUAUUUGUUUGUCUGAUAUAAACUAAGAAAAUAUUAUGUUUUCUAAUUGUUGGUCUUGUUGUUACCCAUUUUUAGGUUCCCCACAAAAAAUAUAUAUAAAAAAAAAAUACAUAUAUAAAAAAAAAUAUUCGGAAGGAAUAAAAAAAUAGGAGUGAGAAAAGGAUGCUGAAACUCCCAUAAAAUAGCUAGGAAUUGGUUGAGGAGGUUCAGAAAUACAAGAAUUGAAAUUUGACAUUAUAAGAGUCUUGUUGACAAAGAAAAUUCAAGUUGAGAAAAAAAGUCUAAAAUCAGAUGUUUAUAGACUCAAUUAAAUUUUAUCUAAGGUUUAAUUGAAUUUAUGGAGGGUUUGAUUGCAAGAAAAAUAGAUUUUUAAGUCAAUUUAGGCUUUUAUGGGAUGAAAUUAAAGUUCUGGGGUCCAAAUCAGGGGCUUAAUUGCAUAGUUAUUGAAGUUUGAUGGCCAAUUAGGGAUUUAAUUGAAACAAUCCGAAGCCAAGGACCAAACCAGAAAAGACGCUAAAAUCAAAGGAUCCAAUUAAAACUUUUCCGGGGGGGCUUGAUUACAAAAUAGUAAAAACAUCCAAGGACCAAAUCAGAAAUAUCAUUUUGAAAUUGAAACGGCGCCGUUGCAUUAAGAAUUACUGCACACUGCUCACUGUCUUCAAGCAACGGUUUCUGCGGUAAAAACGGGAGCGGUGGAGCUGCAAUCAAGGGCAUGUCUCGCGGCUGAUUUCCUCACCACCAUAAUGCAACCAUAUGCCUGCCAUAACGCAUGCAUCCUCUGGCUAUAAAAGCCAGAGGAGGGACCAGGCAGAAAAGGGGGGGGGGGGAAGGAGAGGAGACAGCAGAAAAAGAAAACAGUGGGGGAAAAAGAGAGGAAAACAGGGAGAAGAGGGAGAAUAAAAGCAGAGGGAGACGGGAGGAAGAGGGGCAACAGACGGGAAAGAAAAGAAAGGGGGAGAGCAGGAGAAGCAGAAGAACCCGAAGGGGGGAAAACGGAGGAGAAAAAGACAGAAAGAGGGGAAUGUAAGGGGGAAAAACAGAGAUGAGCUGGGAAGAGAGGAGGCAGAGAGUGAGCAGAACAUGAGAUAAAAACAGAGAAGAGUAACAGAAGAGAUCAAAUUAAAGGGCGAUAGAGCAGAACCGGAGAAGAACUAAGAAAAGAAACAGAGAGAAGGAGAGAACCAGACGCAGAGAGAGGAGAAGACACGCUCAGGGAGGCAUCAUAGCUUAUUCCCAGAAUCCCAGCGACAAGCUCAGGAGGGAUUUCUCCCAACAGCGGCUGCGAACCAGGUAAGCUUUUCAUUCCUUCUCCUUCCGUUUAUAAUUGCACAAACACUGUGCAGGUGCAAUUUAAUUACAUUUUGGCUGUAGUAGGCGUGCGUGAAUUGUUCACGCACGCUUGCGUUUAAAAGGCAGUCGGGUCACUGGCCCAAGCCAGUGACCCGGCUAGGCCUGCUGGGUCCAGCCCAGCCACAUGGCCGGGCUGGGCCCAGCUCGAAAAAAAAAUUUCAAAAAUUAUUUCAAAAAAAUCUGUGAUUUUCCGCAAAUUUUUUACUUCAUUUUGAUCAAUAUUGCUUUGUAUUUUUAUACUGUAAAGAUACAAAUCCGGUAUUGAAAUACUUGGUUUUCGUCAAAAUAUUGAAAAAAGCAAAAAUAUAUUUUUAUGCAUACGGCCAAGUCUCUCUAAAAAAAAAUUAAAAAAAAAUCAUAUUUUAUCUUCAUAAAAAAAAAGGGUUUUAGCAUGCAUUUUGGCUUUAAUAACCAGUUUAUUAAAGUCACGAGAACCGGCCAAUAUUUCAAAAAUUUCAAAAAAAUUAUUUUGUUUUCUUUUAAUAUCUGGGGUUACGACCUUAUACGUAAGACAUAUUCCGGAUAUAAAAUUCUUUUAUUGAUGUUAGAACGGUUAGGUUUUACCCGAUAAGACAAGGACCUCCUUACCGAAGAGAACUUUUCUUAGAACAUAGACGGACCAAUAACUAGAAAACACGACAAGACCUUAGAUUUUAUCAGACAAUAAAACAAUGCAGCCUACCUUAGGUAGGGUGUAUUUGGGGUGCUAAUACCUUCCCUUUACGCAACCAGUCCCCGUACCCGAUCUCUGAUACCAGUUAGGGUUUCUAGUGACCAAAAUACUAGGUGGUGACUCCCAUUCCAUUUUUCCACUAAUAAAAGAUAAGAAUUUCUUGUCUCCCCACAUUUGCCACAUUAAUACAAAAUUUUUGAGGUGAAUGUUUUCGCCGCGACGCCGCACACGUGCGACAGGUCUGUUCAAGGUCGAAGAAAAGUCCUCCUCAGUAAGAAGAUCCUUAUCUUAUCAGGUUAAAAACCUAAUUGUUCUAAUGCUAAUAUAAAAAUAAAAUAAACUAUUUUUUUAUUUAAUAUCGUAAAUACAUCUUACGUAUAAGUUCAUAAUCCUAGAUACUAAUAGAAAACAAAAUAUUUUUUUUGGUAUUUUUGAAUUUAAUAUAGGAAAUACGUCUUAUAUAUAAAUUUGCAAUCCUAUAUCUUAAAAAUAAAAAAAAAUAAUUUUUUGUUAUUUUUGAAAUGUAGGCCAUGUUCUAAUGGCUUUAAUAAACUAGUUAUCAAAUCCAAAAAAAUGCAUGCGAAAAUAAAAGACUAUUUUUUGUGUUUUUAUAAUAUGAUAAAUUAUGCAGAUAUAAUUUAUUUUUGGGAGACUUGACUAUAUGCAAUUUAAAUACAAAAUAGUAUUUUUUAAAAGAAAGAUUUUUGUUGUUAUUUUUAUGGAAGGUGUCGUAUGUGUGCGGCGUUGCGGUUAUUGCCCUCCUGAUCAGGAAUGGUCGAGAAUGGUGUGAGAAGAAAGGAUAAGGAAUUCUUGUCUUUUAUUAGUAGAAAGAGGGAAUGAGAGUCGUCAUCUAGUAUUUUGGUCACUAGGAAUCCUAACUGGUCUCAGAGUAUGAGAAAAGUGACUGAUUGCAUAAAGAGAAGGUAUUAGCACCCCUAAUACGCCUUACAUGAGGUAAGCUACAUUGUUUAUCUGUUUGAUAUAAUUAAAUUAUUGAUGUAUUUUCUAAUCAUUGGUCUGUCUAAGGUUUAAGAAAAAAUUUCUUCAAUAAGGAGAUCCUUAUCUUAUAAGGUUAAAAAUCUAACUGUUCUAAUGUCAAUAUAAAAAUAAACAAACUAUAUUUUCAUUUAAUAUCAAGAAUACAUCUUAUGUAUAAGUUCUUAAUCUCGGAUACUAACAGAAAACAAAAUAAUUUUUUGGUAUUUUUGAAAUAUAGACCUAGUUCUCAUGGCUAUAAUAAACUGGUUAUUAAAUCCCAAAAUGCAUGCAAAUUUGUAUUUUUGAGUUUUUGUAUGGAAAUACAAUAUGCUUUUAUAUAUAUAUAUUUGAGAGACUUGGCCAUAUGCUCACCCAUAAAACAAAAUUUUGUAUUUUUUUUAAGUGAGAAAAAUUCCAGAGAAGUUUUUUGGUAUUUCUUGAAAUUUCAGCGAAAAACAGAUACUUCAAUAUCGGGUUAGUAUUUUACAAUAUAAGUCUAUAGCCCCGAUAUGAAAUAUAAAAUUAAGGAAAACAUUCGAGGGAUCCACAAAUAGAUUUAAAAUGGUCCAUGAAUUUUUUUGGAAAUUUCUAGGUUUUUUUAGGGUUUGUGUGGCCAGAUCUUAAGAUAAAGGCAAGUUUAAAACUAAAGAAAAAACAUAAGGGUGUGUAUGCUAAACACAUCCUUAGCCUAGGGGCUGGGUUGGUUGGGCUUGAGGCCCAAACCCGACCCAGCUAAUUGGGCCUAUCGAAGGCCUAACAAAACCUUAUUUUUUUAGGGGUGGGGAUGGACCUAGCCCAGCCCAAAAUACCGAUUAACUAGUUACUGUGCUGAACACAGUAAUCAAUUAAUUAAAAUUAACUUGUUGUAGAACGUGAAUUAAUCACGUUCUGCAUGCAAGCAAAAGGAAGCAAAAGACAAAUGCAGACUUAACAGAAGGAAGAAGAAGAUUACCUGGAAUGAGAGGUUGAUGGUCACUGACACUGGUUGUUGUUACCCAUUUUGGAUUCCCACAAAAAAUGAGAAGAUACAAAAAAUAUAUAUAUCAAAAAAAUAUUCAGAAGAAAUCUAAAAAAUAAUAGGAGCGAGAAAAAGGAUGCUGAAAUGCCAAAUAAUGGCCAAAAAUUGGUUGAGGAUGUUCAAAAAUACAAAAGGUUGAAAUUUAACAGUAUAUCGUCGGCUGAUAAGAGCCCUAUUGACAAAGAAAAUUCAAUUUUGAAAAACAUAUAUUCAAAAUCAGAUGUUUAUGGACUUCAUUAAAUUUUAUCUAAGGUUUAAUUGAAUUUAUAGAGGGUUUGAUUGCAAGAAAAAUUGAUUUUAAAGUCAAUUUGGGCUUUUGUUGGAAGAAAUUAAAGUUCUAGGGUCAAAUUAUAAUUUUUAAGAGUUGAUUUAGUCAAAUCAGGGGCUUAAUUGCAUGUUUAUUGAAGUUUGAUGGCCAAUUAGGGACUUGAUUGACGCAAUCCAAAACCAAGGACUAAACCGGAAAAGGUGCAUAAAAAGAGAAGCUGAAAUUGACCAAAUCAAGAGCUAAAUUGAAAAAAUUAAAAGUUUAUUGAUCAAUUGAGGGUCAAAUCGCAUGAAUCUAGAACCAAGAACUGUCUUGCAAAUAGCACUAAAAUCAAGAAAUUCAAUUACAAUUUAUCAGGUGGCUUGAUUACAAAAUUGCAAAAAAAAAUCAGAAAUGUUCAUUUUGAAUGUUAAAAUGGUGCCGUUGUCUUGAACACUAUUCACUAUCUCCUUCAGAACCCGUUUUGGUAGUAAAGGCUGAGAACCAUUUCAGCAACAAAAGCCGCAGAUUGCUUCAAUUAUGGGGAACGUUUCACAACUGAUAUCCCUCGCCACCAUGAUGCACGCUGACCGUUACUAUGUUCCUGUAAUAACGCAUGCAUCCUCUAGCUAUAAAAGCCAGAGGAGGGACCAAACACAUUGAAGGGGAAAGGGAGGACAGAAGAGAAAAAGAGAGAGGGGGAAUAGAGGAGAACAGAAGGGAAAAGAAAGAAAAGCUAAGAGAUAAAGAGAGAGGAGAGUGAACGAACCACAAUCAGAAGGCAGGAUGAAGAAGAAGUAAAUACAGAGAAGCCGAAGCAGCGUCCUCUGCGGACCACCGCCAGUCUUUCUCUUCCCUGCCACCAGCAGCAUCUACAUGAAGCCACUGCAGAGAGGUAGGAACACCGUUGACAGGGGGAACAAAAAACAAAGGAAGAAGACAGCGUAGCGAAGCAGAGGAGAGAAGACGGAGAAUCAACGUCUUCCACACAGCCGACUGCCGCAACACCAACGCCACUGUGAGGCACCAGCACCGUAAACGACAGCGCCUCCAUUCCAGGUAAUUCUCUUCCCCUUGUCUUAGUUUCCCAUUUCAUCUUCUUGCAUGCAAAACGUGCACAGUGCACGUUUCUGCAAGCAAGAAGAAAUAAUUACCCUGUUACUGUGCAUGAGCACAGUAACUGGGUAAUUGUAUUUGGGGCUGGUUACACAGUAACCAGUCCGGGUUGACUCAGCCCAGUCUAUGUGGUGGUUUGCAUUUUAUUGGGCUAAUCAGUGCCCAGUUUCUUUUUGGGCCGGGUCUGGCCCAUUCAAAAAAAAAUUAAAAAUUAUUUCAAAAAAAUCCGUGAUUUUUCGCAAAUUGUUUUACUAAAUAUUGCUUAGCACUGAUUUGUAUUUUUAUACCGUAAAGAUACAAAUCAAGUAUUAAAAUAUCUGGUUUUCGUCAAAACAUUACAAAAUAAAAAAAAUGUGUUUUGCUUUCUUACAUAUGCCCAGUUUCUCAAAGAUAAAAAUAUAAAAAAUCAUAUUGUAUUCUCAUAAAAAAAAGGGGUUUUAGCAUGCAUUUUGGCUUUAAUAACCAGUUUAUUAAAGUCAUGAGAACUAGGCUAAGAUUUCAAAAAUAACAAAAAAAAAUAUUUUUUUUUCUUUUAAUAUUAAGGACUACGCGCUUAUACAUAAGGCGUAUUCUUGAUAUUAAAAAGGUAGUGCUUUUAUUAAUGUUAGAACGUUUUGGUUUAACCUGAUAAGAUAAGGAUCUCCUUACCAAGGAUGACUUUUCUUAAACCAUAGACGGACCAACAACUAGAAAACACGACAAGACCUUAGAUUUUAUCAGACAAUUAAACAAUGCAGCCUACCUUAGGUAGGGCGUAUUUGAGGUGCUAAUAUCUUCCCUUUAUGCAACCAGUCCCCGUACCUGCUCUCCAAGACCAGUUAGGGUUCCUAGUGACCAAAAUAUUAGGUGGCGACUCCCAUUCCAUUAUGUCCAUCCACUAAUAAAAGACAAGAAAUCCUUGUCUACCCCAUUUUUCCUGAUUUUACCAGGAUACCAAUAUUCUAGGAUUUGAGAGUGGAUUUUUCGCUACGACACCGCAUACGUGUGACACUGGCGAUGGCUCACGAUGGCGUUGCCUGCGGUGGCAACUGGGAGGAAUUAGUUGCUGCUGUUAGUGGAAGCAAAACUAGUAUCGACGAUCGUUGGAGGGUGUCUGACGCUGCCAAAACAAUGAAGGAGAGAAGCUGGUUUUAUAGCUAGGGGGAGGACAUUGUUCUUCUCUAGGCAGAGCCAAGGGCUUCUAUUUUCUUUUCUUUCUUUUUAAUUUUUUUUGCUCUCUUCUUUGUUUUCUUUUUUGCUUCUUCCUUCUUUUCUCUGUUUCUUUUUUUUUGUCCUCUCCCCCCCACCCUGGUGAGGGGGGGUAUUUAUAUAUAGGGGCAAGAGGGAGCGGGAGCUGACCACCCUAUUCUUGUCCAAAGCACACCGAAAGGUAGGGUGGCUGGGUGGUCACUUUACAGCUGCUUGAAGGCCACUCAAAAGACCUAUUUCUCUACUCCUUUCGAGCAGGCCAUAAGAGGGACGUGAGUUGUGUCGUGGAAUGGAGACAUGGAGGAGAGAGAGAGGGAGCUGAAGCAUGCUGUAAAGGAGGGAAGAAAAACCAUCCUCCCCGCCUGUAAAACCAGUGCAGGGGAAGAAGAUGGUACAUAGUACCAUCAAAACGGUGUUGUUUCAUUUUUUUUAUAUCAAUAAACAAAACGAUGUCGUUUCACACAAAACAUGUCAUUUCAUUUAAAUGAAACGACGCCAUUUUGGCGUUUUAAAAAUAACCUUAGAAGUCUUCGUCUCUAAAUCAAUCCUCAAUUUUUAAUUUAUUCAAUUAAGUUCUUAAUUGAGAUUUUAAUUUUAAGAAUCAGUUCAAUUUCAUCCCUUCCAACUUAAAUGUCAGCCCUAAAGUUGGCCGCCUUUUUCAUUUUGGUCAUUGGUUUUGAAUUUGUGCAUUUUGAUCCUUAAUUAAUGAACAAACUUUUAAUUUCUUUAAUUUGACCCUGAUUCGGUCAAUUUCAAUCCCUACAUUCAUGUGCUUUUCUAGUUUGGUCCUUGGUUUUGGAUUUUUUGAUCAAGUCCUUAAUUGCCUAUCGAACUUCAAUAUUUAUGCAAUUAAGCCCCUGAUUUGACCAAAGUAACUCUUACAAAUUGCAAUUCGACCCUUAAACUUUAAUUUCUUCUAAUUAAAGCCUAAAUUGACUUAAAAAAUCAUUGUUUCUUGCAAUAAAGCCCUCUAUAAAUUCAAUUAAACCUUCAACAAAAUCUAACUGAGUCCUUAAAUAUCCAAUUUUGAAUUUCUUUUCCUCAAAUUAAAUUUUCUUUGCCAUUAUGGUCUUCAUUAGUCGAAAAUAUACUAUCAAAUUUCAAUCUUCAUAUUUUUGAUCCUCCUCAACCAAUCUUUGACUAUUUUCUGGGCGUUUCGAUAUCCUCUUCUCAAUGAUAUAUUUUUUUUGGUUUUCUUCUAAUAAUUCUUUAUUUUCUCUUUUUCCCCUCUUUCUUUUUGUGUAGGGACCCCAAAAAAAAGGUAAUAAUAGAAGGGAAUCGAUUCGUUUAAUAUUAAAAAAGCAUCUCAUGUGUAGGUCAUAAUUCUAAAUAUUAAAUAUUAGAGGGGUAAAAAAGGUUGGGAAAUCAAAAUUGAUUGCAAAAUUGUCUUCCGAACAUUUAAAAAUUAUUAAAAACUAACGAAGGAUGUAUUUGGCAAGACGCAAAUAAAAUGUUUUUAUCAUGUCCAUUUUAACCACGAUAUCAAUUCAAAACAAAUUAUCAUUCAUCAACCCAAACAACGCCAAACAUCCACACAUAGUUUAUUAACGUCACCUAUUUCGUUCAAAUUUCAUGCUAAUACAAAAAAUCAACACUGAUCCCAACACAACUCUUGUGCCAGUAUUUAAUGUCCACAAAGCAAUCACAACCCCAAAAAAUAAACCCAUAAUUCAACUCAAAUAAUCAAAUUAUUUCAAAAAUCCAAACACAAAUGAAACCAAAUUAAUAGUCCAAACAAUCCAAAUAUUAUACAAAAUAGUAAGCAUUUGGUUCCAAAAAAUCACAAUGUUAUAGCAAUUUGUCCAAAAAAUAAUUAGAGAUCAUGAAUCGACCUUUCGAGGUGUUCAAAAUAUCGAAGGUAUACUAAAAUAUAUACUGGAAGACUGCUGGAAUAGUGGAGACACAUGUACCACUUGCCACCAACACUGUUGGCAUGUGGAUUCACGCACAGCCGCUGCUAGAGGAGAUGAACUGAUAGAUCCGAUACUCCUCUUCCCCCUCUUUGUUCCUACACUAAUGGUGAGACAAACAAACAUACAAACAUACGAGGAAAGAGAUCUACUUGGUUAAAGGUUUAGUCCUCUUCUUUUUUCUUCUUCUCUUCUUCCCUUUCUUUAUUUUGUGAUGAUUGGUGUAAAGAAAAUAGGUUAGGGUGUUUUUUUUUUUGAGUGGGGAAAGAAUGUGAGAAAGAUGGUUUUUUGGCUUUUCUUUAUUUUUUUGGGUCUCCCCUUUCCCCUCUCUCGUGUGUGUGUGUGUGUGUAACCACCUAUUUAUAUGUAUAAUAUUUUGUGGCUUGAAGGCAAAGCAAAUCAUUGGAUUUCAAGAAUAAAUCUCUACCACUCAUUUGUUAACUUGAAAGCAAAGCAAAGAAAAAAUAACCCUGGGAUUAAAAGAAUUGAUUGUGGACCAUUUGAUUAGAAAUUGAGUUGCUUGGUGAGAGAGUUGUUAAUUUUAGAAUUGAUCC
rnacentral:lncRNA from 1 species